rnacentral:tRNA from 1 species
UAGUUAAGUGGAAAAAUAAAAAAAUUUUUAAUUUUUAGGUCAUGGGUUCGAACCCGU